CUUCAUUAGAAGAUCAUGUGACUAAAUUGGCGUAGAUAUCUACCCAGUACAUGUAAAGGACAAAUAAAAGCUUGCAAGUUCAAGGAGCUGCCAUUAAUAACUCUAAAUAUCAAAUGGUACAGAUAUCUAAGGUAAUUUAAAAGAGACUACCAGGUGCACUGUCCAAUGACACUCUAACAAAUUCUAAAGAGCAUUGCAAGGCUAUAACUACCCGCAGUGGAGUUUAACUACCAGAGAUCAAUGUAAAGAGACAAGUUGCUACACAAGAAAAGGUAACUACCAUGAUUGAGGAGCACUUGGAAGAAUCUGAGCCAAACAAAGAAUCAAAGAUGGAAAAAGCAUCAAAUGAUCCAAAGGUUAAGUUAACCACUCCUACCAAAGAAUUUGUGCUACCACUACCGUUUCCAUGUAAGCUAAAGAAGCAUAAGUUAGACAAGCAGUUCAUGAAAUUCCUAGAGGUAUUCAAUAGUUUGCAGAUCAAAUUGUUUCUAAUUAUAAUGCACUAACUCCCGAUCAAAUGUAUUAUCUAGUCCUCUUCAACUCUCUAUUUCUAAUAGAUAGAUAAUCU
rnacentral:lncRNA from 1 species